rnacentral:rRNA from 1 species
UACGAAGGGGGCUAGCGUUGUUCGGAAUCACUGGGCGUAAAGGGCGCGUAGGCGGCCGUUUAAGUCGGGGGUGAAAGCCUGUGGCUCAACCACAGAAUUGCCUUCGAUACUGGACGGCUUGAGUAUGGUAGAGGUUGGUGGAACUGCGAGUGUAGAGGUGAAAUUCGUAGAUAUUCGCAAGAACACCGGUGGCGAAGGCGGCCAACUGGACCAUUACUGACGCUGAGGCGCGAAAGCGUGGGGAGCAAACAGG